rnacentral:rRNA from 1 species
GAUGAACGCUAGCGACAGGCUUAACACAUGCAAGUCGAGGGGCAGCGGGGGUAGCAAUACCCGCCGGCGACCGGCGCACGGGUGAGUAACGCGUAUGCAACUUGCCUAUCAGAGGGGGAUAACCCGGCGAAAGUCGGACUAAUACCGCAUGAAGCAGGGGUCCCGCAUGGGGAUAUUUGCUAAAGAUUCAUCGCUGAUAGAUAGGCAUGCGUUCCAUUAGGCAGUUGGCGGGGUAACGGCCCACCAAGCCGACGAUGGAUAGGGGUUCUGAGAGGAAGGUCCGCCACAUUGGUACUGAGACACGGACCAA